GAUGAACGCUGGCGGCGUGCCUAAUACAUGCAAGUCGAGCGAAUGACGAGGAGCUUGCUCCUCUGAUUUAGCGGCGGACGGGUGAGUAACACGUGGGUAAUCUGCCUGUAAGACGGGGAUAACUCCGGGAAACCGGGACUAAUACCGGAUAACAAAAGAAGAUGCAUAUCUUCUUUUUGAAAGUCGGUUUCGGCCGACACUUACAGAUGAGCCCGCGGCGCAUUAGCUAGUUGGUGAGGUAACGGCUCACCAAGGCGACGAUGCGGAGCCGACCUGAGAGGGUGAUCGGCCACACGGGGCCUGGGACACGGCCCAGACUCCUACGGGAGGCAGCAGUAGGGAAUCUUCGGCAAUGGGCGAAAGCCUGACCGAGCAACGCCGCGUGAGCGAUGAAGGCCUUCGGGUCGUAAAGCUCUGUUGUUAGAGAAGAACAAGUACGAGAGUAACUGCUCGUACCUUGACGGUACCUAACCAGAAAGCCACGGCUAACUACGUGCCAGCCGCCGCCGUAAUAC
rnacentral:rRNA from 1 species